rnacentral:rRNA from 1 species
GUCUUUUUGAUAAUAAUUUAAAGUCUAGUCUGCUCUAUGAAAAUUAAAUGGCCGCAGUAUUUUAACUGUGCUAAGGUAGCAUAAUCAUUAGUUUUUUGAUUGGAAACUUGUAUGAAUGGCUGAAUGAAAAAAUAACUGUCUCUAUUUAAUUUAAAUAGAAUUUUAUUUUUAAGUUAGAAAGCUUAAAUUUGAUUUAAAGACGAGAAGACCCUAUAGAACUUUAUAUAUUUAAUUUAAAAUUUUUUAGUAUUAAUAUUUUUUAAAGAAAAAUAUAUUUAAUUGGGGUGAUUGAAAAAUUUAGUAAACUUUUUUUAUUUAGUAACAUUUUUUUAUGAUUAAGUGAUCCAUUUAUGUUGAUUAAAAGAAAAAGUUACCUUAGGGAUAACAGCGUAAUUUUUUUAGAGAGUUCAUAUCGAAAAAAAAGUUUGCGACCUCGAUGUUGGAUUAAAAUUAAAUUUUGGAGCAAAAACUAAAAAAUUAAGUCUGUUCGACUUUUAAAUUUUUACA